GCGGCCCGGGGCCGGGGGCGCCCCGCUGGGCUCGGGUUCCGCCCCCUGCCCGGCUCUCGGCCCCCUUUUCGGGUAACACCUGGGCUGGCGGGCUCGCCCUGCCCGCGGCCGCCGGAAGUUGCGCAAACGCGGGCUACCCUGAGCCUCAGGUGGGUCGGGGCGGAGAGCGCAGGGCAGCGGCGCGGGAGCAGCCAGGAGAGUUGGAGGCGGCUUUGUGGCCCUGACCAUCCCUUGGAAGCAGGUACAGCAGUGGCAUAAUGCCUGGGACAAACUACACAUACCUUGGGUGACCAAGUGGACACUUGCCUCUGAGUGCCCAUCCCGUGGCUGCUGGUGGGUGGACGGGCUGCCGGAUGCCUCUGCAGAGGGCUUUGUGAUCUUGGGCAUUUCCUGCUUCAGGGCUG
rnacentral:lncRNA from 1 species